AUGUACGGAACUCGCCAGAGAUGGCUUGGUGCUCGAAAGAGAACCGUAACACAGGUGCUGCAUGGCUGUCGUCAGCUCGUGUCGUGAGAUGUUGGUUAAGUCCCGCCAACGAGCGCAACCCUCGUCAUUAGUUGCUACAUUUAGUUGGGCACUCUAAUGAGGACUGGCCGGGUGACAAACCGGAGGAAGGUGGGGAUGACGUCAAGUCCUCAUGGCCCUUAUAGGUAGGGCUACACACGUCAUACAAGUGGAUGGUACAAAGGGUCGCCAACCCGCGAGGGGGAGCCAAUCCCAUAAAGCCAUUCGUAGUCCGGAUCGCAGUCUGCAACUCGACUGCGUGAAGUCGGAAUCGCUAGUAAUCGUGGAUCAGAAUGUCACGGUGAAUACGUUCCCGGGUCUU
rnacentral:rRNA from 1 species